GGCCCAGUAGCUCAAUGGAUAGAGCGACUCCCUUCUAAGGAGUAGGUUGAAGGUUCGACUCCUUCCUGGGUCA
rnacentral:tRNA from 1 species